GACGAACGCUGGCGGCGUGCUUAACACAUGCAAGUCGAACGGAAAGGCCCUGCUUGCAGGGUACUCGAGUGGCGAACGGGUGAGUAACACGUGGGUGAUCUGCCCUGCACUUCGGGAUAAGCUUGGGAAACUGGGUCUAAUACCGGAUAGGAGCCAUCUUUAGUGUGGUGGUUGGAAAGUUUUUUCGGUGUAGGAUGAGCUCGCGGCCUAUCAGCUUGUUGGUGGGGUAAUGGCCUACCAAGGCGGCGACGGGUAGCCGGCCUGAGAGGGUGUACGGCCACAUUGGGACUGAGAGACGGCCCAGACUCCUACGGGAGGCAGCAGUGGGGAAUAUUGGACAAUGGGCGCAAGCCUGAUGCAGCGACGCCGCGUGGGUGAUGAAGGCCUUCGGGUUGUAAGCUCCUUUCGCUAGGGACGAAGCUUUGUUGUGACGGUACCUAGAUAAGAAGCACCGGCUAACUACGUG
rnacentral:rRNA from 1 species